AGGAGGUACUGGUAGUGAAGACAAUUAGAUGGUUGGCUUCGUGUUUUUGAAAUAGUGCUAUGUAUGGUUUCUUCCUUCUCAUUGUGGGCCCAGCAUUGAAAAUAAGUUAAGAUUUGAUGGUGAUGGUCACGACGCUUCUACGGGUUGGAGAACGGUGGAGUCUCCGAAAAGAGAUGAUUAUUUUCUUUAAGGCAACCAGAAGAACUCGUUUCUACAAAGCAUAGAUAGGAAGAGCCAUUUAGCCGUUCCUCUCAACAAAAAUCCAGCUAACAUACCGUCGACAUAACUUAUAUAAGGUAUAAGGAUGCGCUGGAAUAUUUCAAAAACCCAAAACGAAUCCAAAAUACAUUCAUAUAUAGCAGCGU
rnacentral:sRNA from 1 species